GAUGAACGCUGGCGGCGUGCCUAAUACAUGCAAGUCGAGCGAAUGGAUUAAGAGCUUGCUCUUAUGAAGUUAGCGGCGGACGGGUGAGUAACACGGGGUUAACCUGCCAAUAAGACUGGGAUAACUCCGGGAAACCGGGGCUAAUACGGGAUAACAUUUUGAACCGCAUGGUUCGAAAUUGAAAGGCGGCUUCGGCUGUCACUUAUGGAUGGACCCGCGUCGAAUUAGCUAGUUGGCGAGGUAACGGCUCACCAAGGCAACGAUGCGUAGCCGACCUGGGAGGGUGAUCGGCCACACUGGGCAUGAGACACGGCCCAGACUCCUACGGGAGGCAGCAGUAGGGAAUCUUCCGCAAUGGACGAAAGUCUGACGGAGCAACGCCGCGUGAGUGAUGAAGGCUUUCGGGUCGUAAAACUCUGUUGUUAGGGAAGAACAAGUGCUAGUUGAAUAAGCUGGCACCUUGACGGUACCUAACCAGAAAGCCACGGCUAACUACGUGCCAGCCGCCGCCGUAA
rnacentral:rRNA from 1 species